GUUUCAGCAGCCGCGGUAAUACGGAGGGUGCAAGCGUUAUCCGGAUUCACUGGGUUUAAAGGGUGCGUAGGCGGAUUUGUAAGUCCGUGGUGAAAUCUCCGAGCUUAACUCGGAAACUGCCAUGGAUACUAUAAGUCUUGAAUGUUGUGGAGGUUUGCGGAAUAUGUCAUGUAGCGGUGAAAUGCUUAGAUAUGACAUAGAACACCGAUUGCGAAGGCAGCAGGCUACACAAAUAUUGACGCUGAGGCACGAAAGCGUGGGGAUCAAACAGGAUUAGAUACCCUAGUAGUCC
rnacentral:rRNA from 1 species